rnacentral:lncRNA from 1 species
AGAGUUAAAAUAUCACAAAUUACAUAAGUACUGGUGAGCAUAUUACCUAAUCCAUAAAUUCUGAGAACUUUAAAGAGCAAUCGCAAGGGUAAAAAUAAGAAGUGGCAAAAAGGUUGAGAACAUGAGAAAGUUUUUCUUGUCUUGGUGUCUGGUACUUGCACUUGAGCCCGAAUAAAUUUUAAUUCACAAAAUAAAUAUUGAAGUCAGAGCUUCACAAUUUACAGAAAUUAAUGGUGAUUUUUCAAAGAAGAAUUGCAAAGUAAAGAAAACUGAAAGUGUGAAGAAGAAAAAGACUGACACAAACGAGGUUUGAUAAGUUCUAUCCAAACAAAAU